rnacentral:rRNA from 1 species
AGGACGAACGCUGGCGGCGUGCUUAACACAUGCAAGUCGUACGAUGAUGCCGCAACUUGUUGUGGUGGAUUAGUGGCGAACGGGUGAGUAACACGUGAGUAACCUGCCUUUCACUCUGGGAUAAGCCUUGGAAACGAGGUCUAAUACUGGAUAUGACUCCUUGCCGCAUGGUGGGGGGUGGAAAGCCUUCGGGUGGUGGAUGAUGGACUCGCGGACUAUCAGCUUGUUGGUGGGGUUGUGGCCUACCAAGGCUUUGACGGUUAGCCGGCCUGAGAGGGUGAUCGGCCACAUUGGGACUGAGAUACGGCCCAGACUCCUACGGGAGGCAGCAGUGGGGAAUAUUGCACAAUGGGCGAAAGCCUGAUGCAGCGACGCCGCGUGGGGGAUGAAGGCCUUCGGGUUGUAACUCCUUUCGCUCGUGACGAAGCCUUUCGGGUGACGGUAGCGGGAGAAGAAGCACCGGCUAACUACGUGCCAGCAGCCGC